rnacentral:lncRNA from 1 species
UAUUGAACACUUGGAGCAAAUGCAAGGUCUGUAGCUGGGAAUCGGUCUUAUAGGUCACAUGGGUCUGUCAGGAAGCACUCUCAUUAGCCAGCGUUUGAUAAAAUUCGGCUUCAUAAUUUUGAAGUUGUCAUAAUCUUGCUAAGUACAUAAAGAAUUCCUUACAAGCUGAAGUUUUAAAAUCUUAACACCUUAUUGAAUCAUAUACAUACGUGUGCACUUCCGGCUCAGAAGACCGGGAUCACGUAAGUUUUCCAAGCUCCGAGUCUUGUGUUUUUUUUUUUUUUUUUUUUUUUUUUGGUGUCACUGUACAGAUCACGAAUCCGACUUUCCGUCAUUUCUUCCAGGUCCAGCUUGAAAAAUUCGAAGAAUUGAUGACGUCCAAACUCACAGCCCAAGUCAAGCAGAACAAAACUUCCGUGUAAGACAGAUCAGAGAGAAACACUUGCUCAGACAUCUUGCACAGCAGCUGCUCAAAGCGCUACUGAACAUCCUUUUUUCUGUAUGAGGUCCUCGGUGGGUUUUAAAUACGCUAUGCUCACCACUGUUUCCGAGACUUGCAUUGCUCUUUAUCCAGCUCAACCCAUUCACAACCCAUUUUAAGCAUUUGGGUCAAUGUUGCAGAGUUUCCAGCACAAGAACAUACUGAAUGGGCACACAUGAACAAGCACUCACUGAAACCCAUUUCGAGGAGCACAAGUGAGGAGGAGGAAUCGGUUCACACUUCAAGUAAAAGAAUUGUUUUAUUGAGCUUAUACA